GCCUGGGUGGCUCAGUCAGUUAAGUGUCUGACUCUUGGUUUCAGCUCAGGUCAUGGUCUCAUGGUUCGUGGGUUCGAGCCCCACAUCAGGCU
rfam:Felis catus isolate Cinnamon breed Abyssinian chromosome E2, whole genome shotgun sequence.